rnacentral:rRNA from 2 species
CGUGAGGGAAAGGUGAAAAGAACCCCGGGAGGGGAGUGAAAUAGUACCUGAAACCGUAGACCUACAAGCAGUGGGAGCCUGUAUUUAUAUGGGUGACGGCGUGCCUUUUGUAGAAUGAGCCUGCGAGUUACCGUAUGUAGCAAGGUUAAGGGAUAGAAGUCCCGGAGCCGAAGGGAAACCGAGUCUGAAUAGGGCGAAUGAGUUGCGUGCGGUAGACCCGAAGCCGAGUGAUCUAUUUAUGGCCAGGUUGAAGCUUGGGUAAAACCAAGUGGAGGACCGAACACUAGUCUGUUGAAAAAGGCAGGGAUGAGCUGUGGAUAGGAGUGAAAGGCUAAUCAAACUCGGAGAUAGCUGGUUCUCCUCGAAAUAGCUUUAGGGCUAGCCUCGAGUUAGUUUGCCGGAGGUAGAGCACUGAUUGGGCUAGGGCCUGUCACAGGGUACCAAACUCAGUCAAACUCCGAAUGCCGGUAAAUGAUGCUCGGGAGUCAGACUACGGGUGAUAAGAUUCGUGGUCGAAAGGGAAAGAGCCCAGACCGUCAGCUAAGGUCCCUAAACACUACUAAGUGGGAAAGGAAGUGUAAUGGCGAAGACAGCCAGGAGGUUGGCUUAGAAGCAGCCAUUCCUUGAAAGAGUGCGUAACAGCUCACUGGUCGAGUCAUUAUGCGCCGACAAUGUAACGGGGCUAAGUAGUGUACCGAAGCUACGGAUUGUACAGUUUACUGUACAGUGGUAGAGGAGCAUUCCGUGUACUGAAGAAGGUGUGCUGUGAGGCAUGCUGGAGGGGACGGAAGAGAGAAUGCAGGCAUGAGUAACGAAAAGACAGGUGAGAUCCCUGUCCGCCGAAAGCCUAAGGUUUCCUGGGUAAAGGUAAUCUGCCCAAGGGUUAGUCGGCCCCUAAGACGAGGCUGAAAAGCGUAGUCGAUGGGAAGCAGGUUAAUAUUCCCGCACCUCUUACAGUUUUGAUGGAAUGACGCAUGAGGAGAAGCGCGGCCGGGCGAUGGUAGUCCCGGUCUAAGCACUCGAGCCGUAGAAGAGAGUAGGCAAAUCCGCUUUCUGAGNNNNNNNNNNNNNNNNNNNNNNNGCCGAGAAAGAAUCUCUAAGGUUAGGCUGUAAGGGACCGUACCGCAAACCGACACAGGUAGGCGAGAUGAGAAUUCUAAGGCGUACGGGAGAACUCGCGUUAAGGAACUCGGCAAAAUACAUACGUAACUUAGGGAGAAGUAUGGCCUUGGAUGGAUGUCAAAGUUUGUCUAAGGUUGCAGAGAAUAGGCCAAAGCGACUGUUUACCAAAAACACAAGUCUCUGCGAAAUUGCAAAAUGAAGUAUAGGGACUGACACCUGCCCGGUGCUGGAAGGUUAAGAGGAGAUGUGCAAGCUUCGAAUUGAAGCCCCAGUAAACGGCGGCCGUAACUAUAACGGUCCUAAGGUAGCGAAAUUCCUUGUCGGGUAAGUUCCGACCCGCACGAAUGGUGUAACGACUUGGGCGCUGUCUCAACGCGAGGCCCGGUGAAAUUGUAGUAUCGGUGAAGAUGCCGAUUACCUGUGGUUAGACGGAAAGACCCCGUGAACCUUUACUGCAGCUUGGCAUUGAACUGUGGCCUGAUAUGUGUAGGAUAGGUGGGAGACUAUGAAACCUGGUCGCUAGGCUGGGUGGAGUCGUUGGUGAAAUACCACCCUUGUCAGGUUAUAUUUCUAACGGUAUCCGUGAUCCGGGUACUGGACAAUGUCAGAUAGGCGGUUUGACUGGGGCGGUCGCCUCCCAAAGAGUAACGGAGGCGCGCGAAGGUGGGCUCAGGCUGGUCGGAAAUCAGACUGUGAGUGCAAUGGCAUAAGGGUGCUUGACUGCGAGACUUACAAGUCGAGCAGGUACGAAAGUAGGUCUUAGUGAUCUGGCGGUUCCGAGUGGAAGGGCCGUCACUUAACGGACAAAAGGUACUCCGGGGAUAACAGGCUGAUCUUGCCCAAGAGUUCAUAUCGACGGCAAGGUUUGGCACCUCGAUGUCGGCUCAUCGCAUCCUGGGGCUGGAGCAGGUCCNNUUAAAGCGGUACGUGAGCUGGGUUCAGAACGUCGCGAGACAGUUCGGUCCCUAUCUGCCACAGGCGUUGGAUGUUUGAGAGGAUCUGUCUUUAGUACGAGAGGACCGAGAUGGACGAACCUCUGGUGUACCAGUUGUCGUGCCAACGGCAUGUGCUGGGUAGCUAAGUUCGGAAGGGAUAACCGCUGAAGGCAUCUAAGUGGGAAGCCCCCCUCAAGAUGAGACAUCCCCGGCACUUUAAGUGCCCUGAAGGUACCAGAGAGAAGAUCUGGUUGAUAGGCUGGCGGUCUAAGCAUGGCAACAUGUUGAGCCGACCAGUACUAAUGAGCCGUGCGGCUUGACCAUAU